AUAUACUUAAAGUGCAACUUUAAGGUUACAUUUUUUUGUGAGAUAAAUAUAUAACCUUGUAUGAAAGUACCAUAUGAAAAUUAAAUGCGAAAGCAAAAAACAUUUACAAAACUCUAAGCGCAUAAAUUUAGUAAAAAAGCUGAAAUUUUCUAAGACCGCUCUCAAAAUCCCUGUUUUUUUCAACAACGCGUCAUAUUACGAAGUCAGAGGCGCUCGUCUGACAGGCUUUACAUUGGCAGUGCUGCGGUUGUAUUCAGCAAAAGCAGUCGCAAAUUGAUGUGAUUCUCCGUAGUUUCAAUUUAGCAUCGUCAUGGUUAAUAAUUGUGUUAGUGGAGGUUUUUCAAACUCCAGCCUGUCAGGACAAUGAGUCCACAGGUUUCUUUUGAAGAAUAAAGACCGCGCUAUCUUCCGUGUCUGGGUGUGUUUAACGCAGCACGAGGAAAGAGGCAAGAGACGCGACUUCAGUUCAGCAUGUGCUUCAGAAAAACGCGGUGGUGUAACUUAUAGCGUUCACGUUAGAUCGGAGGAUUAUCAUCCCGGCAAUAUGAUGGAGUUAAACAUUGGAUGCCGAAGCAAGAACCACGUGAGGCCUGUGUUUUUGCCGCCGCGAGAAAACAUGAAUCGAUCACGUUCCGUCUGAGAUGCAGCUUAAAGAUAACGUGAACUAUGCACAUUGUCCAGCUACAGAUGAAGAUGCUUAGUAUGAUGAAUCAUCCUCUGUUGUCAUGGACGAACCUGGCGAUGUGUUAUGGAGGAGGAAAAAACAAAAAAGACUCAUCUGAUGAGAAACCACUGCAAGAAUAUCAUCCUGUUCACACAAGUCUGUGCAGCAUGCAUGUAUCAGCAUUUUUGGUGACCAGUGACUUCUCUUCUGAGGGACGUGAAUUCCAAAUGUGUGUUUGUUGUGACGUGUGUGAACCAUGUGCAUCAUGCCUCUUGUCACAAUACGUGCCUGCUGCACACGCAUUGAAAAGGUUUAUGAUAAAAGAAGCACUCAUGUUCACAAAAUACUCGCAAGACACUAACUUGACACUAAACUGUAAUUACACAGGAGAUUAAGUGAGUAUCAGGCAAACGUGAGCAUAUCAUUUAUCAUAAACCCUUUACAUGCGUGUGCAGCAGAUUUUGACAUCACGUGUGAUGCACAUAAGUUUACAUGACACGCUGAACACAUAUUUUGAAAUGACGAGCCACACACAUGACAAGCUCAAUGCAUGUGACCAGCUUCGCAACGUGCGCCCUCGAAAAAGAAGUCACCGGCCGACACUGACCCAGAUCAUCAAGAUGUUAAAGCUGUUUGGGCUUCAGAGCAUCUUGUCAGCACCUUCUUCCACCAUGUACACAAUUUCUACCAUCGUGAAGGCGUGGCAGAAUGAAAGAUUUGCAGUCACCACAGGCUCUACGAGAAUGCAGCACUGUCCUGUCUUCCACUACACCUGCUCCCCUCUCCAGAUCCAUCCAGAGGAUCAACAAGGCUGAAGCUGUUGGGAUCUAUUAAUCACAUCAUUCACAAUUUAACACACUUCAACACAUUAUUAUAAUACCCUGCACAUAUGAUGGGAAAGAUACUGAAAAAUUGUUAAAUGUUUUUAAAUGGGUCAGAUUGUAUAUCUUUUUUUCGGUGCUACAUAAAUAAAACUAAAUCGAAUUACAAA